rnacentral:rRNA from 1 species
UGGAGCAUGUGGUUUAAUUCGACGCAACGCGAAGAACCUUACCAGGGCUUGACAUCCCCUGACCGCGUAUGAAAGUACGUUUUCACCCUCGGGUGACAGGGAGACAGGUGGUGCAUGGUUGUCGUCAGCUCGUGUCGUGAGAUGUUGGGUUAAGUCCCGCAACGAGCGCAACCCCUACGUUUAGUUGCUAACGCGUGAAGGCGAGCACUCUAGACGAACUGCCGUUGACAAAACGGAGGAAGGUGGGAUGACGUCAAAUCAUCAUGCCCCUUAUGUUCUGGGCUACACACGUGCUACAAUGGCCGGUACAGACGGACGCAAAGCCGCGAGGUGGAGCAAAUCCUAAAAAGCCGGUCUCAGUUCGGAUUGCAGGCUGCAAUUCGCCUGCAUGAAGUCGGAAUCGCUAGUAAUCGCGGAUCAGCAUGCCCACGGUCCGAAUACGUUCCGGCCUU